AACGCACAUUGCGCCCGCCAGUAUUCUGGCGGGCAUGCCUGUCUGAGCGUCAGUUCAACCCUCACAACCGGCUUUCUUGCUGGAUGUGGUGUUGGGGAUCGGCUGCCUUUCUUCUAGGUGGCCGGCCCCGAAAUAGAGUGGCGGUCUCGUCGUGGCCUCCUCUGCGUAGUAGCAAUAUCUCGCAGGCGGAGAGCGGCGUGGCUAUGCCGUAAAACACCCAACUCUUCUAAGGUUGACCUCAGAUCAGGUAGGAAUACCCGCUGAACUUAA
rnacentral:misc_RNA from 1 species